CCCCUCUCAGGGUCACAGCUGGAGAGUUCCUACUCUACCAGUCUUGACUACAGGAGAGAGAGUCAGGCAGAGGCAUAGCCAUUCCAUUCCUAGCUUGGGAAGAGGCUAGCGAGUGGAAGGCGAUCUGCUACAAGU